rnacentral:rRNA from 1 species
UGCCUACGGGGGGCAGCAGUGGGGAAUAUUGCACAAUGGGGGGAACCCUGAUGCAGCGACGCCGCGUGAGUGAAGAAGUAUUUCGGUAUGUAAAGCUCUAUCAGCAGGGAAGAAAAUGACGGUACCUGACUAAGAAGCCCCGGCUAACUACGUGCCAGCAGCCGCGGUAAUACGUAGGGGGCAAGCGUUAUCCGGAUUUACUGGGUGUAAAGGGAGCGCAGACGACUGUGCAAGUCUGGAGUGAAAGGCGGGGGCCCAACCCCCGGACUGCUCUGGAAACUGUAAAGCUGGAGUGCAGGAGAGGG